rnacentral:miRNA from 3 species
GGUAUCCACUGUAGGCCUAUAUG